AGAGCGCAGGGUGGAUGCCUUGGCACUAAGAGCCGAAGAAAGACGUGAUAAGCUGCGAAAAGCUGCGGGGAGGAGCAAAUAUCCAUUGAGCCGCAGAUAUCUGAAUGGGGAAACCCGGCUGGACGAACUCCAGUCAUCCAUACGCCAAUCCAUAACGUAUGGAAGGGAACCCGGUGAACUGAAACAUCUAAGUAGCCGGAGGAAGAGAAAGAAACAUCGAUUUUGUUAGUAGCGGCGAGCGAAAGCGAAAGAGGCCAAACCGGAGUGCGUGCACUCCGGGGUUCGGACCGCAUUUAAGAUUCAGUGAUUCUAGCAGAAAGGUUUGGGAAAGCCUGCCGGAGAGGGUGAAAGCCCCGUAAGCGAAAGGAAAACUGACUGAGCGGAAUCCAGAGUACAUCGAGACACGAGAAACCUUGAUGGAAUGAGCGGGGACCACCCCGUAAGCCUAAAUACUACUUAGUGACCGAUAGCGCAUAGUACUGUGAAGGAAAGGUGAAAAGGACCCCGGGAGGGGAGUGAAAGAGAACCUGAAACCCUGUGUUUACAAGCUGUGGAAGUUCUUUAAAUGAACAACCGCGUACUUUUUGUAGAACGGUCCGGCGAGUUGCGGAUACUGGCAAGGUUAAGCACUUAAGGUGCGGAGCCGAAGGGAUACCAAGUCUUAACAGGGCGUUAAGUCAGUAUACGCAGACCCGAAACCGGGUGAUCUAUCCAUGUCCAGGUUGAAGUUGUCGUAAAAGACAAUGGAGGACCGAAGCCACAUCCGUUGAAAAGGGUGGGCAUGAGGUGUGGAUAGGGGAGAAAUUCCAAUCGAACCCGGAGAUAGCUGGUUCUCCUCGAAAUAGCUUUAGGGCUAGCCUCGAUUUAGUCUUAUGGAGGUAGAGCACUGAAUUUCCGCGGGGGCGUCAAAGCUUACCAAAGAAUAUCAAACUCCGAAUGCCAUGUAGAUGAUGAACGGGAGUCAGACUGCACGAGAUAAGUUGGGCAGUCAAAAGGGAAAGAGCCCAGACCACCGGCUAAGGUCCCAAAGUGCGUGUUAAGUGGAAAAGGAUGUGGGAAUUCGAAGACAACUAGGAUGUUGGCUCAGAAGCAGCCAUACAUUCAAAGAGUGCGUAACAGCUCACUAGUCGAGAGUUCCUGCGCCGAAAAUGUCCGGGGCUAAAACACGACACCGAAGCUGUGGAAUCAUGCUUGCAUGAUUGGUAGAGGAGCAUUCGCUGAGAGACGAAGCUGUACCGAAAGGAGCAGUGGAUUUCAGUGAAGAGAGAAUGCCGGAAUGAGUAGCGAGAGAUAGGUGAGAAUCCUAUCGGCCGAAUAUCUAAGGUUUCCAGAGUAAAGCUGAUCUGCUCUGGGUAAGUCGGGGCCUAAGGCGAGGUCGAAAGACGUAGUCGAUGGAUAACAGGUUGAAAUUCCUGUACUAUCCUGUAACAGAACUGUGGGGACACAGGCAGAGAGCGUGAGCCGGGAAUGGAAAGACCGGUACAAGCGAGGUAGGAGAAGAGUUGGCAAAUCCGCUCUUUAAUCUGAAGACGUGAUGUGGACUGAAAAUAAGUAGGGAAGCACGUGAGCUGACUGUCAAGAAAAGCCGCUAUUGUUUGCAGGAUACCCGUACCGUAAACCGACACAGGUGGAUGAGGAGAGAAUCCUAAGGCCGACGGAAGAAGCAUUGUUAAGGAACUCGGCAAAAUGACCCCGUAACUUCGGGAGAAGGGGUGCUCCAGAGAUGGAGCCGCAGAGAACUGGCCCAAGCAACUGUUUAGCAAAAACACAGGUCUAUGCAAAACCGAAAGGUGAGGUAUAUGGGCUGACGCCUGCCCGGUGCUGGAAGGUUAAGGGGAGAGGUUAGCGCAAGCGAAGCUUUGAACUUAAGCCCCAGUAAACGGCGGCCGUAACUAUAACGGUCCUAAGGUAGCGAAAUUCCUUGUCGGGUAAGUUCCGACCCGCACGAAAGGCGUAAUGAUUUGGGCACUGUCUCAACAAUGCACCCGGUGAAAUUGAAAUACCAGUGAAGAUGCUGGUUACCUGCGCCAGGACGGAAAGACCCCAUGGAGCUUUACUCCAGCUUGAUACUGGGAUUCGGUAUUGCAUGUACAGGAUAGGUGGGAGGCUAGGAAAUGGUAACGCCAGUUGCCAUGGAGCCGCUGUUGGGAUACCACCCUUGCAGUACUGGGUUUCUAACCAGCAGCCGUGAUCCGGCUGGGGGACAAUGUCAGGUGGGGAGUUUGACUGGGGCGGUCGCCUCCGAAAGGGUAUCGGAGGCGCUCAAAGGUUCCCUCAGAAUGGUUGGAAACCAUUCGAAGAGU
rnacentral:rRNA from 1 species